UACGUAGGUGGCAAGCGUUAUCCGGAAUUAUUGGGCGUAAAGCGCGCGCAGGUGGUUUCUUAAGUCUGAUGUGAAAGCCCACGGCUCAACCGUGGAGGGUCAUUGGAAAUUGGGAGGCUUGAGUGCAGAAGAGGAAAGUGGAAUUCCAUGUGUAGCGGUGAAAUGCGUAGAGAUAUGGAGGAACACCGGUGGCGAAGGCGGCAUCCUGGACCGACACUGACGCUGAGGAGCGAAAGCCAGGGGAGCAAACGGG
rnacentral:rRNA from 1 species